GUUUUUGCACUUGUAAACAGUUAAUGGGGUUUGUAGCCUACAUUCAGACGCAGUCUACUCAUUCUUGCGUGCGAGUGGCUUAAAUAAAAUUAAAACAUUCCGAGUAUGCAAAUUAUUCUAAAGAUGUCUACGUGCGUAGCCCCGCCUGCUCCAAUGAACAAGAAAGCCGGCUCUUUGAAGGCUUUACACAGGCAGGACAGUGAAACUAACAUCUGCCAAGCAGCGACCGUACCUGCUUGGCAGUGUAAAAAUGCUUAGGGUUAGGGUUAGGUUCUCUGACAAAUGAAUCCUGUUUCUCUACAGAAGGAUCACAGCAACCAGAGCACCUACCGUCUGUCGGGGAUGGUCUCUCACCUCGGGGAGAGCAUCAACACCGGUAACUAAAGCUUUUAUAGUAAAGAAUGUACAUCUGUACCUGACACACGCGUCAGACACUAGACCCGUCCCACGCUGGGGGACAGUAAGGUAAUGGAUGUCUUGUGUCCCCCAGGCCACUACGUCAGUGACGUAGCUCGAGAGGACGGCGCCGGAUGGUUGACCCUCAACGACGCCCGUGUGACGCCCGCGGAGACGCCGGUCCUGAGGACCAGAGAGAAGACCGCCUACAUGUUGUUUUACGUCCUAAGUGGAGCAGAAGAGGGAAGCCAUGUCCCACUGGCUCAGAACCAGGAGCCAUCUGGAGCUGAGAGGGACUGACACCUGUGAGGCCCAGGAGAGCGCUUGAUUGGUGGCAGAGUUCCCGUUGUCCGGUAAUUACCGGUCUUUGACCGGAAAAAAAUGAGGAGGACCGAAAAUCCUAAAUGUCUCCGGUCAGAAUGACCGAUUGGAAAUAAGGCCCCGUCCACACGGAGCCGAAACGGGCGAAAACGAUCCGGUUUCGUUUUAUGCUUAAUGUUCAAGGUGCUGGUUCUCCACAGAAAAAAGUGGAGCGCAUCAACCCUGCGCUCAUACAGCAUGGGCGCUGUAUACAAACAUUCAGUCACGAGGAGAUUCAACCAUUGAGCAGAACAAAAUUGAGCAGGUCCUAUGUUCCCGGUUUUCCCCAAAAAGGGUCCUAUGUUCCCCUGUAGCCAUACAUACCGGGGAACAUAGGACCCUUUUCCCAGAAAAGGGUCCUAUGUUCCCCGCAAUCUAUCAAUCUUUAAAAAUAUUUAAACUUUGACGCGGCAUUCGCGUAAUGACAGCCAAUCGUCGUUCAACAGAGUGACAUGUCUAACGUAACAGCCAAUCAGCGUUCAACCGGCCAACUCAGUGCAGUGCAGUCCGGGGUGAACUGCAGCAAGGAGGAGAAAGUGAUUGUUGCCGUUUGCGACUCCCGGAGCUCUUUAUAUAAUAGUAUAUAAUAUAAUUGUAUAAUAAUAUCACGGCCAAAAGCUCUGUGCGCCUCCGGAUGGCCGUAACGCGGGAAGCUCUCGUGGGGAUUGGGCUUCUCGGGGUUUGUUUACCGGCGUAUGAAUAUACUGCGUCAGGUUCUCCGACGUCUCUCCCUCUUCCACAAAAGGUAAAGACAUGCAAUGGUAGUUAUCUCGGCCGGAAUUUGGCAGUAAUGGUGGAAAAAGUAACAGACCGGGGAACAUAGAACCCCUUUUUAAAAAAAGGGUCCUAUGUUCCCCGGUCACAUACAUAUCGGGGAACAUAGGACCCUUUUUUGGGAAAAGCAGGGAACAUAGGACCCUUUUUGAAAAAAAGGGUCCUAUGUUCCCCAGUCUCAUACAAAGAGGGGAACAUAGGACUCGGGGAACAUAGACACGCUCCCCUAUAGACUACCGUAGGUUUAUGAACUAAACGGCGGCAAGCUAGCAAAAGCCGGCGGCAAGCUUUGCGGAGUACCGGUAUUUAACAACAAUGGCGAAUCAAAAUAUGAUCACACACUUCUUCUUUAUAUAGCCUGCCUAUCAUUUUUUUUAAGUGCAAUAAACACGGACAAUAUCCGACCGUUUUUUUCCCAAUUUGACCGGUAAAAUUAAACCUUCCCGGUCACAUGACCGGCACCAAUUUCUUCUAGCGGAAACACUGAUUGGUGGUGCCUCUACAGCCCGCUCUGGGGGCCACACCCUGCAGCCCCCCUCUACAGCUGAGGCCCACCUUUAAACGCCCCCCUAGGGGCCACACCCUGAAGCCCCCCUCUACAUCCCCCCCUAGGGGCCACACCCUGAAGCCCCCCUCUACAUCCCCCCUAGGGGCCACACCCUGAAGCCCCCCUCUACAUCCCCCCUAGGGGCCACACCCUGAUGCCCCCCUCUAGGGGACCUGAGGCCCCUCUCUACACCCCCCUCUGGGGGCCACACCCUGCGUCCCCCUUCUACAGCCCCCUCUAGGGGCUAACCAACCCCCUCUACACCCCCCUCUCGGGGCCCUGCGGCCCACCUCUUUGGACUUUAAGGCUGAUCAUAAUGAGGAUCACUUUAUUUUUAUUUUGUAUCAUAAUAAUGAGGAGCAUAUUCAUAUUAUGUAUAAUAAUAAUGCUGAGG
rnacentral:lncRNA from 1 species